UACGUAGGUGGCAAGCGUUGUCCGGAAUUAUUGGGCGUAAAGCGCGCGCAGGUGGUUUCUUAAGUCUGAUGUGAAAGCCCACGGCUCAACCCGUGGAGGGUCAUUGGAAACUGGGGAACUUGAGUGCAGAAGAGGAAAGUGGAAUUCCAAGUGUAGCGGUGAAAUUGCGUAGAGAUUUGGAGGAACACCAGUCGGCGAAGGC
rnacentral:rRNA from 1 species